GCAAAGCGAGAGCCAGAGAAGGCGGCUUCCGAAAGCGCUUACCGCACCCGCAGAAGAGGAUGGAAAAUGAAUACAAUAGUUCCCUCUGAAGAGAAGCCAAAGGCCUUGGGCCAGUACAGGUCUUCGCAGCCAGCAUCUUCUACUGCAUCCAAAAACCUACCACUGAUCACGGCAGCUCCUGCAGCAGCGGUCUAAUGAAAUUCACUUCCAAACAUCUUGAUUUGUAACAACAAGGUAAAAGAUUUAAAGGCUGCUUGACUCCAAAACAACAUUUGGUGGCUUAUAUUUUGAAAGAAUAGAAAACAAUAAAAAAGAAAGAAAGAAACCAUGUACUGUAUGUCCAGACAAGACAAAUUCCACAUGUUCCAAAAGAUUCUGGGAUUGAAGCAUUCUACUUUCUAGAGCACUGUGCCACUUGCUGUGCUUUCUGUUCAGCAAGCAAGUUGUCCUCCCAGGUGGAUGUGAGCUAAUGGCGCAGCAGGCCACGAUCUAUGCCUCUCUAAAGUCUUUCUUACCCACACAAGGCCACAGUGGAUACUCAUCAAUCAAGACUCAACAUGGUACAGUGACGGGGUUACAAGAUUAAGAUCGAUCAUGAAGAUCCAAAGACAGAUCCCUGGUUGACUCUGAACCCAUCCUUUCCUCUCUGUUUAACCUACCUUUGAAGAGUUGUUGUAAGAAUAAAAUGGAGGUAGAAUCUGUAAUAUGUGGUAAUAUUUAGAUCAAUCCCUCUUUUACGUACAGGGCAAAUAUCCAACCCACCAAGGUAAGCACUUUGUAGAGUGCCUCCAAAACCUGUGAUUAAAAUCAACAGUUUUCCCAGCUGGGUCUUCAAUACACUUCAAAUGGACUUGAUGUUUUGGGACUUGAAGAUGAUCUGUUGUGUUGAUGUUGUUAAUUGCUGCGUACAUGCACAAUCUCCGGUUGUAUUAGUAUAAAUGGAGGCAGGAAAGAGCAGAGGAGAUAUAGGCUAAGAAGCUGGUAGGUUAAUAACAGGAAUGCAUGCAACAAUGGCCAGUCAAUGAGAAUGGAGACACUACCUUUGAUGCAAAUGAUCUCUUGAAUGCCAAGGCGUGUGGUAUGUAAAUCGACUUUAAAAAUGGGGAGGGAGGGGAAGGAGUAGCAAAGGCAAAAAUAAAAGAAAUACACAAAAUGGAGCAAGAUCAGUUCAACAUAAUAACACUCAAUACAGAAAGACAACAAUAAACAAAAAUGCUGCUUGAAAUAUAACAUGAAACUACAGAAUACAAAUACUUCAGAAUUUGGAAAUACGCAAUGGAAGCAUAUACAGUAGCUUUACAAGAAAUAAAGUAAAAUAAAAUAAAAUAAUCUUUGGGGUCCCAAAGUUAUUAGUUGCAUUUGCAUUUUCAAAAUUUGCAAAUUUUAUGCAAAUAUGCAAAAGGCAAUCACUUCCUAAGUCUCAGUGUUAGAUUUUAAGGUCUUGGGAUAUUGAAUUUUGGAUCUAACACUUUAUUUGGGUAAGUAAGUAUGCCAAAACACUGACAGGACUGCACAAAACACAGAAUUAUUUCUUAUUCUGAAUGCCUGCCCUUCAAUACUUUUGGCAACACAUUCACUUUUUCUGAAACUAAGCACAAAAACAUGAACAGGGAAGUGAGAAAGGUUGGGUGAGUUUUAAAUAAAAUUUCUGCAUUUAGGAAAAGGCAACAUAUUUUUGAGCAAUCUGCAACUACAUGAUUUAAAUGUUUCAUGACAGCAGCAUAUACAUAUAUGACGAUAACUGAUUCAGGAAUACAAGCUACAAGAAAUUAUAUAUUUAUUUAGCAGAUGCUUUCAACAUUAUACAUCAGAUCCCCCGCCUUCCCAAUGCUAGGCAGUAAUGUCAUUUUAGUCACUACAAAACAGGCAGCUGAGCCUUGGUCUAGAACAGUGGUUCUCAACCUGUGGGUCAGGACCCCUUUGGGGGUCGAAUGACUCUUUCACAGGGGUCGCUUAAGACCAUAGGAAAACACAUAUUUUCAAUGGUUUUAGGAAUAAUUUUAUGGUUGGGGGUCACCACAACAUGCAGAACUGUAUUAAAGGGUCGCGGCAUUAGGAAGGUUGAGACCCACUGGUCUAGAAGCUAUGCACGAGUAACUUUUACUGUUUGGAAAAUCACACUGACUGUGCUUUGUUUCCCUGGCGUGACAAUGUUCUCUAGAAACUUGAGAGUUGGAAUAAAAAUUUAGACUGAACUGAUUUUA